rnacentral:misc_RNA from 1 species
GCUAAUGAACUUUUCUUUAAAGAAAAACAAAGAACAUCAGGGAAGGAAAAUAAGGCAGGCACAAAACCUCAGGUAGAAAAAAACAUUAAUAAAAUUACAUCUCUAGUUCAGUAUUGAUGUGAAGUGAUAAUCUACAUCUUAUGUAUUUUCCUCAAUCCUCAUCAACUGGGACACUAAAUUUCAGUGGAGAAGAAUACAGUUUUGCCUCCAGUCUCGGUGUAGCAUGGUACAUGUCGCCCUCUCUCUGGCAGAAUAUGUACAGCCUUUCCUCUGGCAGGAUGGCUGAACUGGGCUCAUCGACUGAUGUCGGCAUCCGGCCACGGAAAAAGAAAUUAGUCCCUGCAAACAGAAAGCCAACAUGAAAUGUUAUAUUUUCAUUCAGGAAGAGACAACAUGUAUGUGUACAAGUCAUAACUGGUAAAGUGCAAACAUAGCAACAACAGCACAAGUCUUAAUCUUAAAAUAGUUGACAUAACGUUGGCAGACAUAUCAUCCAGCAAAAUUAAUUAUCUUCACUUAUCCAAUGGUAGAGGAUUUUCAGGCCACUAACGUUUGGUAGAAGCUUCUUUCUAAUGGAGAUCCUGAAAACUUUAUAAACUAUGAAACACAAAAUAGAAAGACAUAAUUAUCAACAGGACCAUUAUCCAAUAGGAUCAAAUCUAAUUCCAGGCCUUCAUAGAAAGAAAAAACUUACAUAUCAAAUAUCUAGUUAUACAUAUUGAUUCCCAAGGCAAAACAAAAGUCCUAACAACAAAAUUAUGUAGAAGUAUGCAUUAGAUUAAUGUAUGGAGUUAUGAACCCACUUGAAGCAAAUGUUAACAAGAAAAUGAAGAAACAAAACAAUCUUGUCCCAAUACCAUCGAUCAAUUCGGGAUUGAUGCACAACCACGCAUCACAAAAGCUUUAGAAUUGAAAUCCAGUAUUCUAUUUCAUGCGUCAGAUCAUGACUUUUUGCACCUUUAAUAGAGAAAUGAAAGUGAUAAUUUAAUGAUGAAAGAGUUGUUUGGUUUCCAAAAUAGUAAGCACCAAAACUAAACCAGUCAUUGAAACUACAAGUUCUAAUUCAAUGACAAGUAAACCCAAGACAACAAAAAUAAUGCACAGAUGCACAGAAGUAAAUGUUCAAAAUGGCAUGCAUAUAUGACAAACUGGACAAUAUGGCAGAAUAGAAUAUAAAAAUAACAAUAUUAGGAUAGAUAACAAACCAUUGAAAGAGGGAAUUAAGGGUGUAUAAUUAUCUGGUAAUCUUUGUGAAAAGAAUGAAAUUCACAGCCUUCUUCAGAAACUUAAAUGCAAAUGCAUAUUUAUGAUGUUCAAUUUUACAUUCUUGUGCUUCAAACUAACGUCUCUAUUAAAAAUAAUGCACAAAUGCAAUAAUUGGAUGCAGUAUUUUAAGGAAGAUAAGGUGAGCAUAAAUCUAUAAUAUGGUUUUAAAAAUACACGUUUAAGAUACUGGAUGUUUAUGAUUACUUAAUAAUACUGCACUCAUAUCUUUUAAUAUCAAAAGUUAAAAUCAAGCAAAAGUGACAAGAAGAAAACAGCAGUUCACCUUCCUAGAAAUGAAUUUUGAGAUUUUAAUUUGUUAUAAAUCUUACGAAAAGUAUGCGUUCCUAUACUAACAUAACAUAGAUGUUAAUAACUUUCAUGGAGAUUGACACAUUCAUUGAACAGGUUCAGCAUAUACAAACAGACAAAUACACAUGAAUCGCCAACAUCACCAGAACAUCUCCAAACACCAAAAACAAGCUAUUUAGCAUGAGCAUUCUGGCAAGAAAGAUUACUCA